GUUUGAGUGGAAGGAGGAGAUCAAGAAACCUGGUAGGAAGAAUGAGAAGUCUGCCAUUUUUUUUACAGAAGCUUAAGGUGGAUGAGCAGUCUCUAGAUCUCCAAUGAUUGUUCACUGAAUUUUGUUCCAACAUAUGGGCAACCUUAAGAUCUUCAAGACCAUUAGCAGUCUCUUGUAAUGAUGCUUCCGUAACUGAUAAAGAAGCUGUCCAACCAUGUUGCUUAAAGAAAACAAGUGCACAAUUGUUGCCGCCGAAAGCCAUCAUUCUAAGUUGCGCAGGAU